rnacentral:tRNA from 1 species
ACUUAUAUAAUAUAAAAAUUAUAUUUGACUUCCAAUCGAAAAAUCUAACAAUAGUAUAAGUA